rnacentral:rRNA from 1 species
GAUGAACGCUGGCGGCGUGCCUAAUACAUGCAAGUCGAGCGAACAGAUGAGGAGCUUGCUCCUCUGACGUUAGCGGCGGACGGGUGAGUAACACGUGGAUAACCUACCUAUAAGACUGGGAUAACUUCGGGAAACCGGAGCUAAUACCGGAUAAUAUAUUGAACCGCAUGGUUCAAUAGUGAAAGACGGUUUUGCUGUCACUUAUAGAUGGAUCCGCGCCGCAUUAGUUAGUUGGUAAGGUAACGGCUUACCAAGGCAACGAUGCUUAGCCGACCUGAGAGGGUGAUCGGCCACCCUGGAACUGAGACACGGCCCAGACUCCUACGGGAGGCCGCAGUAGGGAAUCUUCCGCAAUGGGCGAAAGCCUGACGGAGCAACGCCGCGUGAGUGAUGAAGGUCUUCGGAUCGUAAAACUCUGUUAUUAGGAAAGAACAAAUGUGUAAGUAACUAUGCACGUCUUGACGGUACCUAAUCAAAAAGCCACGGCUAACUACGUG